rnacentral:rRNA from 1 species
CCUACGGGUGGCAGCAGUGAGGAAUAUUGGUCAAUGGACGAGAGUCUGAACCAGCCAAGUAGCGUGAAGGAUGACUGCCCUAUGGGUUGUAAACUUCUUUUAUAUGGGAAUAAAAUGUUCCACGUGUGGGAUUUUGUAUGUCCCAUAUGGAUAAGGAUCGGCUAACUCCGUGCCAGCAGCCGCGGUAAUACGGAGGAUCCGAGCGUUAUCCGGAUUUAUUGGGAUUAAAGGGAGCGUAGUGGGAUUGUUAAGUCAGUUGUGAAAGUUGGCGGCUCAACCGUAAAAUUGCAGUUGAAACUGGCAGUCUGGAGGACAGUAGAGGUGGGCGGAAUUCGUGGUGUAGCGGUGAAAUGCGUAGAUAUCACGAAGAACUCCGAUUGCGAAGGCAGCUCACUGGACUGCAACUGACACUGAGGCUCGAAAGUGUGGGUAUCAAACAGGAUUAGAUACCCUGGUAGUC